AACAUGCUGAUAUAAAUGAACAUCAUGUAUACUAAUACCAAGGGCCAGCGCCUGAUUUCUCUUGUUUGAAUCAAAGCAUUUCUCAGUGCUCUCAGCAGGACAUCAAUUACCAUCUUUGAGAUCAAUUUGUUUUGUUAGGGUCGUCAAACAUUCUUUUGAUAUUUAUUUUGUACUACUAUGGAUCUGUUCUCUAUCUUUGUGUACAGAUCAAUACUUUGUUGGACAUCUUCUGCUAAUGGUUGCUAACCCACUUGAUGGGGUUUACUGGAACUCUGCCAUUUUUCUCCACGGAGCAAUGAUGUCAGCUGUAUUUGAAACUCUCCCAUGGCUGCUCUCCGUCCAUUGGUUGUCAAAGGCGACAGAAGAUACUGUUCAUCUCCAAUCGUUGAGGAUGUAAAGAUUUUUCUUGAGUUUCCCUUGAUGUAGGAGUGUAGACUUCACUUCACGCCCAGCUAACAACGCCCAGUCAGGAUGCCAGCGGGGGCCAUACCCUUCCCAUUUGGAGAGUGUCGCAUCUGUAAUGACAAGGCUACAGGAGUGCAUUAUGGGGUAGCCACAUGUGAGGGAUGCAAGGGUUUCUUCAAACGAAGCACAACGAAAGCUGAAAAAUACAAAUGCUUCUUUGGCAGCCAGUGUGUAAUAACACCACAAAACCGUAAUCGUUGCAAAUAUUGUAGAUACAAACGAUGUCUUGAAAA